AUUGAACGCUGGCGGCAGGCCUAACACAUGCAAGUCGAGCGGAGCGGCGGACGGGUGAGUAAUGCCUAGGAAUCUGCCUGGUAGUGGGGGAUAACGUCCGUAAACGGGCGCUAAUACCGCAUACUAUCAGAUGAGCCUAGGUCGGAUUAGCUAGUUGGUGGGGUAAAGGCCUACCAAGGCGACGAUCCGUCACUGGUCUGAGUGGAUGAUCAGUCACACUGGAACUGAGACACGGUCCAGACUCCUACGGGAGGCAGCAGUGGGGAAUAUUGCACAAUGGGCGCAAGCCUGAUGCAGCCAUGCCGCGUGUAUGAAGAAGGCCUUCGGAUUGUAAAGUACUUUCAGCGAGGAGGCGUUACUCACAGAAGAAGCACCGGCUAACUCCGUGCCAGCAGCCGCGGUAAUAC
rnacentral:rRNA from 1 species